rnacentral:rRNA from 1 species
GACGAACGCUGGCGGCGUGCUUAACACAUGCAAGUCGAACGGAAAGGCCCUGCUUUUGUGGGGUGCUCGAGUGGCGAACGGGUGAGUAACACGUGAGUAACCUGCCCUUGACUUUGGGAUAACUUCAGGAAACUGGGGCUAAUACCGGAUAGGAUCUCCUGCUGCAUGGUGGGGGUUGGAAAGUUUCGGCGGUUGGGGAUGGACUCGCGGCUUAUCAGCUUGUUGGUGGGGUAGUGGCUUACCAGGGCUUUGACGGGUAGCCGGCCUGAGAGGGUGACCGGCCACAUUGGGACUGAGAUACGCCCCAGACUCGUACGGGAGGCAGCAGUGGGGAAUAUUGCACAAUGGGCGGAAGCCUGAAGCAGCAACGCCGCGUGCGGGAUGACGGCCUUCGGGUUGUAAACCGCUUUCGACUGUGACGAAGCGUGCGUGACGGUAAUGGGUAAAGAAGCACCGGCUAACUACGUG